rnacentral:rRNA from 1 species
GAUGAACGCUGGCGGCGUGCCUAAUACAUGCAAGUCGAGCGAACAGACGAGGAGCUUGCUCCUCUGACGUUAGCGGCGGACGGGUGAGUAACACGUGGAUAACCUACCUAUAAGACUGGGAUAACUUCGGGAAACCGGAGCUAAUACCGUAUAAUAUAUUGAACCGCAUGGUUCAAUAGUGAAAGACGGUUUUGCUGUCACUUAUAGAUGGAUCCGCGCCGCAUUAGCUAGUUGGUAAGGUAACGGCUUACCAAGGCAACGAUGCGUAGCCGACCUGAGAGGGUGAUCGGCCACACUGGAACUGAGACACGGUCCAGACUCCUACGGGAGGCAGCAGUAGGGAAUCUUCCGCAAUGGGCGAAAACUUGACGGAGCAACGCCGCGUGAGUGAUGAAGGUCCUCGGAUCGUAAAACUCUGUUAUUAGGGAAGAACAAAUGUGUAAGUAACUAUGCACGUCUUGACGGUACCUAAUCAGAAAGCCACGGCUAACUACGUG